AGUGCUUGGCGCGGUGACCAGACCUGGCCGCCUUCCUGACUGCACAGAGCAAGAGGCCACACUCUGGAUCCCAGGCCGGGUCCCUGUGGUUCUGGGAGGGAGGUCCCGGAUGCCUCCCAGAUCUCGGGCUUCUGUAACCCUGAGGCUGGGUUUUAAAAUCACGGCUCUUCCAAGUUACACGAAGAGUCCAUGGUCAAGGGUCAAGGGUGGUCUUCGACCCUCGGGAUCGUCUUCUUGAGAAAUGGCUGAGAGCUAAGCCUAGAGCUGCCCAGGGAAGGAAGCCAAAGAGCUGGAGCCGAGCGCGAAGGGCUGGGAGGCGCGGGGAGGCCCCUUACCCCCGCCCCCCCCCCCCACACUGUCCUGGCCGCUAAUAACGCUGAUAAUAGUAACAGUAUCGGCCAACUGUUUCCCCCCUGCUCCUGGUCUGCCAGGCACCGGAUCCUCCUUUAGCACUCCCAGCACUCACUGAAGAAGACACUAUGGAAUUCUCCGUUUUCCAGACUAGAAAUAAGUAACUCGGAGAAAUUAAGAAACUCGCCCGACGACCCUCAGGCAGUAGCACCUGGCCAGGUUUGCUUUCUGAACCACUAACUCCACUCGCGCACGCCACCUUUCCUGCCUGGGCCUCUUGCGGGUCGCAGGGGUGGAAGCCUGACCUGGGCCAGGGCCCGGAUUUCUUCCUCCUGGCCUCUGUCCCACCGCCCCCGGUGCCAGGAAGCGCUUUUCUCUCCCCGAGACCCAGACGCGCCGAAAGACUCGCGCGGUCAGUUCCCUACCCCACGCCCUGGGCUGUGCGUUUUCUUGCAAGCCUCUGCCGAGUGCGGGGAACGGCGCCGCCAGACUCCCCCAGACCGCGCUCCGGCUCACGCCUGACUAGAGCACUCUGCUUCACAGAGGGGCGUUCUGCGCGUUCUUCCUCCCUGGUGUGAUUUUCGUUCUUUUUCCUCUCAUGGUCCCCAAGAACCCAGGCACCCCUCGACGUAGGUGCCGGCGGUACCGGGAAUCCCUCCCCUGGACUCCCUGCGGGCCCGAAGCCACCUUCUAAUCCCAGCCGCCUUCCCAAGGCGGCGGAGGUGGGCAGCUCCGGGCUCCGCGCCGCCCCGCGAAGCCGGAAUUUCUCUUCGGAGUCUUGAUACAGCUCUCCACUUCGUCGCCCCGCACUGGAUCCUGGUAGCGUGAAACUUGCCCAGGAAGCUGGGCUGCGCUGGCCUGGGGUGAAGGUCCAAGAGACGAGGGGGCCGGGACGCGGGGCUGUCGCAACGACUGGCCCUCUGCGAACCCUCAGGCCAGCAGCUGCAGGUGCUGUUGUAGGAGCAAGGGAUACAAUGAUGAUCAAGGCAGAUGCAGCCGUUACCUUCAGGUUGUGGAGUCCGGAUACAGACUGGAGGCAGGCAGCUGUAAGAUGUGUGAGAAAUGCUGCGCUGGAUCAGCC